AAAUUAAAAAAAAACCGGUAACCAUUAUUACAAACCGGUUCAAGUAAACGGUUACCAUAUUUCAAUAAUCAUUUCAAAUUAACCCAAAACACAAAUUUCAGAAUCCCUAAUUCUCAAAAAUCCAAACUUUUUUCAUCUUUUUUUUCUCUUCAUCAUUCUUCAAAUUCCAAACUCAUCAAAACCUGCAUCGUAUGAUUUUUGAGAAACUGAAACAAAGAUUGUCCGGUGUAUCUUCUACCAAAUCCCUACCCUAACCCUUUCUUCUCAAACCCUUCAACUUGCAACUCAGAAUUUAUUUUAAGUUGCAUUGCGGAGGCUGUGGCAGGAUCAGCAGCAUGGCUUGGUAGAAGUCCGUCUUGUGUAUGUGUACAGAGAAGAGAUAGUGAUGCUUCUAGCUUUUUUGAUUUAACUCUAGCCCAGAAUCAAGAUGACUAAUGUUGGUACAACUUAUGCAACAUCCGAGAAUACAGUUUCAACCCCUCCACCUACAAUCUCUAAUGAAAUGCCACCUCCUCACACUAAGAAGCAAAGGAAUCGUUCAGAGGUUUGGAAGCAUUUCAUUGUAUCGUCGGAAGAAGAACAAAAAGCUUCGUGCAAAUACUGUGACACGAAAAUUAAGUAUAAUAAUGGAACUAGUUCCAUGCAUGCUCAUGUAUCGAGAUGCCUUGUUUACAAGAGGCAAAGGACAUUAUCUUCUACGACAAGUGUUGAAGAACAUGUUGGCUCUCCUUUAAUUGUCAAGUUUGACCAAGAAGCCAUUAGAAGAGCAAUGGUUAAGAUGUUCAUAAACAUGGAGAUUCCUUUUCGGAAGGUUGAACAUGAGUCUUUUCAUGAAUUUAUGAGUCUCGCAUCACCAAGAUUUCAGAUUUGUUC